rnacentral:misc_RNA from 1 species
UCUCUCUCUCUCUGUGUGCAAUGCCAUGGAUUCAAACGAACCUGAUCAAGUGAAACCUUUAGCGGAAUUUCUAAUUCGCCGCCACUCUGAGCAGCUCCGUUCCAUUGUUUUGUCUUCUGACCCUAAGCUUCACUACCCUCUUUAUAUUGAUUUUGCAGAGCUAAUGGACGAAAAUCCCCAACUUGCCCAUCUCGUAUUCUCCCAACCAACUGAGUACUUGCGGCAUUUCGACCAAGCUGCUUUGUGGGCUCACAAAAUUGUGCUGGAGAAUUUGAAUUUUGGGGAGAAGGGGAUUCAGAAGAAAUUUAUUCAUGUUCGUAUUAAUGUGUGUGGAUCUCCACUUGAAUGCCCUGAGACCUUUCCAAGCAUAGGACGUGUGAGGGUGAAGCACCGAGGGAUUCUUCUGACUCUAAAAGGAACUGUGAUCAGAUCUGGCACAAUAAAGAUGUAUGAAGGGGAGAGGAUGUAUCGGUGUCGGAAAUGCAAGCACGAGUUCCCGGUUUAUCCUGAGCUUGAGAGUAGAAACUCCAUAACACUACCAUCAUUUUGCCCCUCUAUGAGGUCUAAGCCUUGUGAAGGCACAAGGUUUGAUUAUGCAGAUGAAACUGUAAUACGCCAUGAUUAUCAGGAAAUCAAAAUACAAGAAAGUACACAGGCAUUGGGUGUUGGGGUUAUACCUCGCUCAAUUCCUGUCAUCCUAAAGGAUGAUCUUGUUGACAUUGUUAAAGCUGGAGAUGAUGUCAUUGUUUCUGGGAUUUUGACUGCAAAGUGGUCUCCUGAUUUGAAAGACGUCCGCUGCAACCUUGAUCCUGUAUUAGUUGCUAAUCAUGUGAGGAGAACUAAUGCGCUGAAAUCGGACAUUAAUAUCCCCAAUGAUGUUAUCAUGAAAUUCAACCAGUUUUGGUCAGAAUUCAAAGAUACUCCUUUAAAAGGGAGAAAUGCCAUUCUGCAAGGUAUUUGCCCACAGAUUUUUGGACUUUUCACUGUGAAACUUGCAGUUGCAUUAACACUCAUUGGAGGUGUGCAACAUGUUGAUGCCUCUGGUACCAAAAUUCGAGGGGAGUCUCACUUACUUCUGGUUGGUGAUCCAGGUACCGGCAAGUCUCAAUUCUUAAAAUUUGCUGCAAAAUUAAGCAACCGAUCUGUCAUCACUACUGGGUUGGGGAGCACUAGUGCUGGAUUAACAGUUACUGCUGUGAAGGAUGGAGGAGAAUGGAUGUUAGAAGCUGGGGCCCUUGUUCUUACUGACGGUGGCCUUUGUUGCAUUGAUGAAUUUGAUAGUAUGAGAGAACACGACAGAGCAACAAUACAUGAAGCAAUGGAGCAGCAAACCAUAAGUGUUGCCAAGGCUGGUCUUGUAACAACUCUCAGUACUAGGACAAUUGUCUUUGGUGCAACAAAUCCCAAAGGACAAUAUGAUCCAGAUCAAACUCUAUCUGUCAAUACUGCACUCUCGGGUCCAUUAUUAAGCAGAUUUGAUAUAGUUCUGGUUCUCUUGGAUACAAAGAAUCCUGAAUGGGAUGCAGUUGUGUCAUCUCACAUUCUUGCUGAGGAAGAAUCAGACAAAGGCGAUCACAAUGAUAAUUUAGCAAACAUUUGGACAUUAGCUAUGCUUCGUAGGUAUAUUCAUUUCGUUAAAGGGUACUUCAGACCAGUACUCACAAAGGAGGCUGAAAAGGUUAUCUCAAGUUAUUAUCAACUUCAAAGAAGAUCUGCAACCGAUAAUGCAGCAAGGACAACUGUUCGCAUGCUGGAAAGUUUGAUACGCCUUGCUCAAGCACAUGCAAGACUUAUGUUCAGAAAUGAGGUCAGUAGGUUAGAUGCUAUCAUGGCAAUUUUAUGCAUUGAAUCAUCCAUGACGACUUCAGCCAUUGUGGACAGCGUUGGGAAUGCCCUGCACUCCAAUUUCACAGAAAACCCUGAUCAGGAAUAUACCAAGCAAGAAAGGCUCAUCCUUGAAAAGCUGAAAUCGAUUGAUGAAUUUUCUGACGUGCACAGCAUAGAAGAAUUGUCCAGAUGAGAAGACAGAAAGCAAAAGCAUCUCAGCGAAUAGAAUUAAAAGAUUAUCAGGCAGUUCAUGACCGCGAGUAUAUAUCCACAAUCUGUACCACUUUGUUAUUGAAAAGAAAAAUCCCGAGUUACUACCAUUUUUCUUUCUCUAGCUUACACAACUAUCAUGCCGAUUGAGUGGUAUCUACUGGCAAUGAAUUUGUUACAUUUGAUAUCAUGUACAGUAUAAAUAUUGAUUUUAAUAUUUAGUUCAGCAGGCAUUGUAUUUGUAGUUUCACAUGGUUUAUGUACAAAGCUACCUUGGAUAUAUACGUCUUAUGUUUUCU